rnacentral:rRNA from 1 species
CAAUAGCGUAUAUUAAAGUUGUUGCGGUUAAAAAGCUCGUAGUUGGAUCUGCGGCCGAGGAGGGCGGUCCCCCGUUGGGUGGCUACUGCCUUUCCUGGCCUAACUCUCUGGUUUUCCUCUGGUGCUCUUGACUGAGUGCCUCUGGUGGCCAGAACGUUUACUUUGAAAAAAUUAGAGUGCUCAAAGCAGGCAUACUGCCUGAAUAGUGGUGCAUGGAAUAAUGAAAUAGGAUAUUGGUUCUGUUUUAUUGGUUCGGAGCUAAUAUAAUGAUUGAAGGGGACAGACGGGGGCAUUCGUAUUGCGACGUUAGAGGUGAAAUUCUUGGAUCGUCGCAAGACGGACUACUG